rnacentral:rRNA from 1 species
UGCAAGUCGAGCGAACAGAUGAGAAGCUUGCUCUCUCUGAUGUUAGCGGCGGACGGGUGAGUAACACGUGGGUAACCUACCUAUAAGACUGGGAUAACUCCGGGAAACCGGGGCUAAUACCGGAUAAUAUUUUGAACCGCAUGGUUCAAUAGUGAAAGACGGUUUCGGCUGUCACUUAUAGAUGGACCCGCGCCGUAUUAGCUAGUUGGUAAGGUAACGGCUUACCAAGGCGACGAUACGUAGCCGACCUGAGAGGGUGAUCGGCCACACUGGAACUGAGACACGGUCCAGACUCCUACGGGAGGCAGCAGUAGGGAAUCUUCCGCAAUGGGCGAAAGCCUGACGGAGCAACGCCGCGUGAGUGAUGAAGGUCUUCGGAUCGUAAAACUCUGUUGUUAGGGAAGAACAAAUUUGUUAGUAACUGAACAAGUCUUGACGGUACCUAACCAGAAAGCCACGGCUAACUACGUGCCAGCAGCCGCGGUAAUACGUAGGUGGCAAGCGUUAUCCGGAAUUAUUGGGCGUAAAGCGCGCGUAGGCGGUUUCUUAAGUCUGAUGUGAAAGCCCACGGCUCAACCGUGGAGGGUCAUUGGAAACUGGGAAACUUGAGUGCAGAAGAGGAGAGUGGAAUUCCAUGUGUAGCGGUGAAAUGCGCAGAGAUAUGGAGGAACACCAGUGGCGAAGGCGGCUCUCUGGUCUGUAACUGACGCUGAUGUGCGAAAGCGUGGGGAUCAAACAGGAUUAGAUACCCUGGUAGUCCACGCCGUAAACGAUGAGUGCUAAGUGUUAGGGGGUUUCCGCCCCUUAGUGCUGCAGCUAACGCAUUAAGCACUCCGCCUGGGGAGUACGACCGCAAGGUUGAAACUCAAAGGAAUUGACGGGGACCCGCACAAGCGGUGGAGCAUGUGGUUUAAUUCGAAGCAACGCGAAGAACCUUACCAAAUCUUGACAUCCUUUGACCGCUCUAGAGAUAGAGUCUUCCCCUUCGGGGGACAAAGUGACAGGUGGUGCAUGGUUGUCGUCAGCUCGUGUCGUGAGAUGUUGGGUUAAGUCCCGCAACGAGCGCAACCCUUAAGCUUAGUUGCCAUCAUUAAGUUGGGCACUCUAGGUUGACUGCCGGUGACAAACCGGAGGAAGGUGGGGAUGACGUCAAAUCAUCAUGCCCCUUAUGAUUUGGGCUACACACGUGCUMCAAUGGAUAAUACAAAGGGCAGCGAAUCCGCGAGGCCAAGCAAAUCCCAUAAAAUUAUUCUCAGUUCGGAUUGUAGUCUGCAACUCGACUACAUGAAGCUGGAAUCGCUAGUAAUCGUAGAUCAGCAUGCUACGGUGAAUACGUUCCCGGGUCUUGUACACACCGCCCGUCACACCACGAGAGUUUGUAACACCCGAAGCCGGUGGAGUAACC